GCCGGACGACGUGGUGAUUUGAACGACCCAGAUUGCGGGCCACGCUAAACAUUCCGCUAAAGAGGGGGCCUGGUCCU
rnacentral:ncRNA from 2 species